rnacentral:lncRNA from 1 species
GUUCUUAUCAACCAACACUUUUAAUUGCAAAAAGUAAAAACCUUCAUUACAAUAAACUUUAAUUUACAUACAUUCUUCACAUGGUGGAAGUCUUUACCAGUUUGUAGUAUCCUGCACUUGAACACAUACUAAAAGCUCAAGCCAUUCAGAGCCGCUGUGGCUGUGACAGCUGCCUGCCUCCCUCUGCUCCCUGGGACCAUCCAGGGCCACCACACCCUGCUCCCGGAAGGAGAGCUGCAGCUGACCCUGGCACCUGUCCCCGAUGAUGGGAAGACUGCAGCCAACAUUUUUCUGAGGGUAAAACUGUGGAAAGAAGUAUGGAGGGAAGCCUGUCUGGAUAAGAUGGGGCUUUCUGGGAAUGUCAUGUGUCUGCUGGCUCCUGUCACCUCCCUGGAAGGGUCCACAGUGCUGGGGGGUUGCAGUGUGAAGAAUGGGAUGCUACUGUGAGUAAGGGUGGCUGCACAGGUGAGCCCCCUGCCCCAAGGAGCUGCUGUGGGGAGCGAUGGUGUCAAUGAAGCCUGGCACAGAGAAGAUGUCCCAACUCCCCAGUUUCUGUCUGAAACUCAGACCUCGGCUGGGUUCCUUUCUCCACACAGUGCUUGCCGCCAUGGCUCAUUCUUGGAUUGAUGGCUGCUGCCUGCCUGACAGACACACUAGGCAGAGGCGGAAGGGUCUCUGGUCCAGCCCUGUCAAAUCCUGACAGUUCCAGGCCUCCACUUAGUUAUGUAACAUUCCUUCCCUCCACUAGUCUGAAAAAGUCUGGACAUUUCGCAGUCUCCAGGGAGAGGAAUAUGACAGAUGUAUUUGGCACUAAUGCUUAAAUUAUGCAGGGCAGGGAAACCAGAGACACUGAGGGACCUGGACAACAGACAAGCUGGCUGAGGGUUUCUCUUCAAGGCCAGCAUUUAGUCACACUGCGUCCACGGUGGGUGGACUUGGAUGUGGUGCACGAGAAGGAGAGCACCUGUCCGUCUCCCUGACAUGCUUCUGGAAGAGGCUGCUGGGGAUGUGGAGACUGGGGGUGGGGAGGACAGGGAAAUGCCUGCUGCUGGUGACACAAACACAUUCCCGGAGGCUUCCGUGUUUCAUUUGCUACAGAGCUGUCUCCACAAGCGCCUUCACUCUCCUAGCUUCCUGACCCUGCCAUGCAUCGGUUCUGUACACAACAUCUGCAGGUCCAAAUACAGAGAGAAUUUCAGCCUAAAGUACAACUUUAAAGCAUAUCUCUGACACUCCCUUCCUUCAACAAAUUGUAGUGGGUGAUGGGUCACCACUGAAAGGUAAUGAGUGUGGAACUUGUAUACUCAAGAGAGCUUUUCCUUCAUUGUCAGGAGAGCUCAAAAUCCUAAGAGGCCCUUCUGUUUAUAACUGAUUCUCGAAAGGUAGACAAAAUUGCCUCUCUCUGUGCAAACAGACAUGCGCCUUUCUCUCUCUUUCUCCUAUAACCUGGCUUUCUCCUUUAUGGACAAGGAGAUGCAAACAUUUGCUUUGGGGUUUGAACAUUCACUACGAAAGUGACUGGGUAAUAAGCAAACUCAUUCCAGGCUGUAUUAAAAUGACUGAGGCCAUCACCUGCAGCUAAGAAAUGUGAGUUUUUGUUUUAAAGUAAGUGUACACUGAGUCCUAUGCUGGGUUUUGGUAGAAGGGAACAGAAAACCAAGAAUUGAAAAACAAGUGAUGUAAACUCCAAGGGGACCCACAACUGGAAUUGAGCAGAGUCCCUCCUCUGUCACACAUCUGGAAGAAUGUGGAGACAGGAAAAUGGCUGGACACAGUUGUGUUUCAGCUACAUUCACUCUUAAAAAGAGUUUUCAAAUGGGGAGGGGAAAAGUGAAAGGAUUUUUAUAAAAGUCAUAUGGUUAGAUUCUUUCCUCCUCCACUUCUGUCCAGCAGAGUUUUAAAAACAAACCCUGCGGAGUUCCUGGCUUGCUGACCCCCAUCCCUGGGUUCUCCCACCCCAACGGAGGCACAUCUGAGUCAACGACAUCCACAGCUGUCUUCUUCGGCACCAUGCCGUGAUGCCGCAGGAAAAUGAUGUGCUAUGGAACCAGCUACCUACCUGCCAGCGGUUAACUGCUCUAAGCCUCCACUUAUUUACUUGCAAAAUGGGGAUCUAACACCUACUUUACAGGAUUGGGUGAAGAUUAAAGGAGAUCAUGUAUAUCAGGCACUUUGUAAACUGGAAUGUACUAGACAAAUGCUAUUAUUCCUUUCUCUCAGAACAUCUUCUCUGCAGAAAGUCAGACCCUAA